rnacentral:rRNA from 1 species
GAUGAACGCUGGCGGCGUGCCUAAUACAUGCAAGUCGAGCGAACGGACGAUAAGCUUGCUUCUCUCAUGUUUGCGGCGCACGUGUGUGUAGCACGUGGAUACCCUACCUAUAUUUCUGGUAUAUCUUCGGGAAACCGGCUCUUAUCCCGUAUAAUAUUUUGAACCGCAUGGUUCAAAAGUGAAUGACGGUCUUUCUGUCUCUUAUCGAUGGUUCGGGGCUGCAUUAUCUAGUUGUUACGGUAACGGCUUAUCAAGGCUACGAUGCAUAGCCGACGUGAGAGGGUGAUAGGCGACACUGGAAGGGAGACACGGACAAGAGUACUACGAGAGGGAGCAGUAGGGAAUGUUCCGCAAUGGGCGGAAACAUGACGGAGCAAGGCCGCGUGAGAGAUGAAGGUCUUCGGAUCGUAAAACUCUGUUAUUAGGGAAAAACAGAUGUGUAAGUAACUGUGCACAGCUUGACGGUACCUAAUCAGAAAGCAACGGCUAACUACGUG